ACCUUGGAUGGUGUAUGUCUGUUCAUCGUCAUGGUAAUGCAAUUGGGGAGAACCCAAAUCUCCAGAUCCUCGGGGCUGAGAAAACCAGCGACCUGUUCUGUAUGGGGCAAUCGCAAUUCACAAUUGACACGCAGACAGUUGGACCCUGGUUGUAAAUAAUUGAUUGAGGGUCUUUGGGAUCGCCCAUUUGAAGGGUUCGAAGGGAAGAUAACCUAAAAGGGUGCGGACCUGCUAAGGCUCAAGGAUCUUUUCGAAUCGGGUUCAUAAGAAACUAGGGACUCGGUGGCGGCGAGCCGAAUUUCAAACUACUGUUGCGUGAUGCAAGGGCAAACAGAUGGGCGGGAAUAACAAAUAAUAAGGGGUGAAAGUAAAAAUGUAAAAUCACAAAUAAUACGAG
rnacentral:sRNA from 2 species